UACGAUAUUUGUCAAUACUUUGCUUUUGGUGACGCUGAAUCAUUGGACGUAUAUCAGGUUUAGCAUUUGGAUGUCUCUAGGUUUAUUGGUGUACUUUUUCUACGGUUACAGUCACAGUUUGGAAGCCGUUAGACCGUCUGAGAAAACAGAGUCUCAGUUCAUCCUGACCCAGACUCCAGACUUUGGUCAAGAACUUGAAGAAUAUGUAUUACCACAUAAUCCCCAGGGAAUCCCGUAAAUAUUGCAAUUCUAAACUAAUUUUGUGGCCAGAAAGUACUUAUAUGGAAGUGUUGAAUGAUUAGGAGGAUCAGUUCAUACAGGAAACAAUCCCUUUGAAAUCGGCACGGCCAUCGUAGAACUAGAAAUCUCGGCGUGUAUAUUUUCCCUGUAUUGAGAGGCGUUGUCAUAACGUGCUGAACUCCAGUGGAUCGAGACCUGCUGGCCAGAUUUUUAAUCGCGUUCUUCUGCAAGACUGUACUGAAAUAUACACUCUCUCUACCUAAGAUUAUAAAUUAGCACUGGUAAAUUUUCAGGGAAGCUUGACGAAAUCCCGACGAAGAGGGGAGGGGAGGGGGGUAACAAUUCAACAAAUAGAUUUACUAAGAACAAAAACAUGGCGCACGAGGCUCAGCCUCAGUAUGCCACUGAUGUUUCUUACCACAUUUUGAAGUCUGCUGUGAUCCAUUCCUGAACAGACCCACGCAAGCAACAUAUGGAAACUAUUUGUUUCAUAUAAGAAAAGGGCGAAAUUUGGUUAAUGGUGACGUUAUCUAUGCGUCUGUCCUUUAAUAGAUCAUAAAUAAGAACCAAUAAAAAUACUACUGAAAUUAGGAUCAGCUGUAACAGUAUGGACCAAAUGACUUGCGCACUGGGAAGAUGGCCUUGUAACACUUUUAUACGAACCAUAAGACUGGGCAGACUUAAAAAUUAUUAAUUGGCGUAAAAUUUAUUGUUCCACAAAAGACAAACGGUUGCGUAUGAACAAGCUCUAAAGAAAGCCGUCAGAAACUACAGGUGUUUGUUAAAAAGGAAAAGCCCAAAUAAAUUGUUUGCAUACACACUGA